rnacentral:rRNA from 1 species
GACGAACGCUGGCGGCGUGCUUAACACAUGCAAGUCGAGCGGUAAGGCCCUUUCGGGGGUACACGAGCGGCGAACGGGUGAGUAACACGUGGGUGACCUGCCCUCAGCUCUGGGAUAAGCCUGGGAAACCGGGUCUAAUACCGGAUAUGACUCCAUGACGCAUGUUGUGGGGUGGAAAGCCUUGUGCGGCUGAGGAUGGGCCCGGCGGCCUAUCAGCUUGUUGGUGGGGUGA